AUUUGAUGGUGCGGACAGCUUGCACAGAGUUUUUUAAAGCGCUCUUAAUAUUCAUAUAAAGACUCUCCAGUAUGUUGUCUAAUGCCACAGAUUUCCUUCCUUAUGUU